ACCCCUGGGCUGGUGGCCCUGGGUGGGGUGAGAAUGUGGCUUAUCAAGCCACAAGGAAUAAGCCAGUAAGCAGUGCUCCUCUGUGGCCUCAGCUUUCAGCCCCUGCUUUGAGUUCCUGCCCUGACUAAUUUGUCUUGAGUCACAUCUCUCCUCCAACGUUAGUAUGUGUGAUACUCUGUGACUAGACUGAAGAUCUAUGGGGAAAUUAGAUUUGGCAUUAGAAGGCAGGCUGGCUUGAGAAAAUGAUGGGCCGUGUCCAGGGUGAGCAUCCAGAGCUGAGGUACUGUAUGAGUUUAAGUCUGUUCCACUCUUUGCCAGGUGGAUCUGGAAAAAUACUGUUCUGCCAACUUCUCCAAGCAAGUCGGGUUUAGUUAAAAGGGGUUAUUUUGUGUAUUUUGUUG
rnacentral:lncRNA from 1 species